rfam:Alcanivorax pacificus W11-5, complete genome.
GCCCGGAUAGCUCAGUUGGUAGAGCAGGGGAUUGAAAAUCCCCGUGUCGGUGGUUCGAUUCCGCCUCCGGGCA